AAUCACACUAUCAAUGAAUUGAUUCACCCGUGAUAUGGCGUGGCUGUUCCACUUAUGACGAGGACGUGGCAUCUUAUUACCAGCCAUCACACGAAAUUAAUAGGAUGCCAUAUUCUCAUCCUAGGUGUAACAACUACGUCAUCUCACAUGUGAAUCCAUUUAUUGAUAGUGUGGUU
rfam:Oryza sativa Japonica Group DNA, chromosome 5, cultivar: Nipponbare, complete sequence.